GACGAGCGCUGGCGGCGUGCUUAACACAUGCAAGUCGAGCGAGUUGAUUCCCUUCGGGGAUGAAGCUAGCGGCGGACGGGUGAGUAACACGUGGGCAACCUGCCUUAUAGAGGGGGAUAGCCUUCCGAAAGGAAGAUUAAUACCGCAUAACAUCAGAUUAUCGCAUGGUAGACUGAUCAAAGGAGCAAUCCGCUAUAAGAUGGGCCCGCGUCGCAUUAGCUAGUUGGUGAGGUAACGGCUCACCAAGGCGACGAUGCGUAGCCGACCUGAGAGGGUGAUCGGCCACAUUGGGACUGAGACACGGCCCAGACUCCGACGGGAGGCAGCAGUGGGGAAUAUUGCACAAUGGGGGAAACCCUGAUGCAGCAACGCCGCGUGAGUGAUGAAGGCCUUCGGGUUGUAAAGCUCUUUGAUCAGGGACGAUAAUGACGGUACCUGAAGAACAAGCCACGGCUAACUACGUGCCAGCCGCCGCGGUAACAC
rnacentral:rRNA from 1 species